UUUUUCAUCUAGUGAUCUCUUCCCCCCCACCCCCACCCCGAUAGACAGAUAGGAGACUUCCUGCAUAGGUAAAGAACAGAAGAUAUUUCACAAUUGUGACUCCCCCUGAAUUGAAAAAUCCAAGCUUUGAACGGCUGUAAAUGGAAGCUGAUCUUGGUAACUUUGUUUGUCUGGAAAGAAGAGGACCUAUGUGAUGGUGAAUUAAAUCAAGACUGUAUACCAUGCACUGGAAUUAAAGGUUGUAUAAAAUUUUAAAGAAGCAGCAUUCUAUUCACUAGUUAUUGGACUUGAGCCUCCUUUGACCUCGGAAACUGAAAAUGAGGUUGCUAUGGGAACUGCUUGUGCUGCAAUCAUUCAUGUUGUGCCUUGC